GACGAACGCUGGCGGCGUGCUUAACACAUGCAAGUCGAACGAUGAAAGCUGGAGCUUGCUCCGGCUGGAUUAGUGGCGAACGGGUGAGUAACACGUGAGCAAUCUGCCCUUGACUCUGGGCUAACUCCGAGAAAUCGGUGCUAAUACCGGAUAUGACCCUUGGCGGCAUGGCUGGGGGUGGAAAGUUGUUCGGUCAAGGAUGAGCUCGCGGCCUAUCAGCUUGUUGGUGAGGUAAUGGCUCACCAAGGCGACGACGGGUAGCCGGCCUGAGAGGGUGACCGGCCACACUGGGACUGAGACACGGCCCAGACUCCUACGGGAGGCAGCAGUGGGGAAUAUUGCACAAUGGGCGCAAGCCUGAUGCAGCAACGCCGCGUGGGGGAUGACGGCCUUCGGGUUGUAAACCUCUUUUAGCAGGGAAGAAGCGAAAGUGACGGUACCUGCAGAAAAAGCACCGGCUAACUACGUGCCAGCCGCCGCCGUAA
rnacentral:rRNA from 1 species